rnacentral:rRNA from 1 species
CUACACAUGCAGUCGCACGAGAAAGGGUAGCAAUACCUGAGUACAGUGGCGCACGGGUGAGUAACACGUGAAUCAUCUACCUCCGAGUGGGGAAUAACUGAGAGAAAUCUUAGCUAAUACCGCAUAACACUUACGAGUCAAAGCAGCAAUGCGCUUGGAGAGGAGUUCGCGGCAGAUUAGUUAGUUGGCGGGGUAAUGGCCCACCAAGACGAUGAUCUGUAUCCGGCCUGAGAGGGCGCACGGACACACUGGAACUGAAACACGGUCCAGACUCCUACGGGAGGCAGCAGUGGGGAAUUUUGCGCAAUGGGGGAAACCCUGACGCAGCAACGCCGCGUGGAGGAUGAAAUAUCUUGGUAUGUAAACUCCUUUCGAUGGGGAAGAUAAUGACGGUACCGGAAGAAGAAGCCCCGGCUAACUUCGUGCCAGCAGCCGCGGUAAUACGAGGGGGGCAAGCGUUGUUCGGAAUUAUUGGGCGUAAAGGGUGCGUAGGUGGUUCGGCAAGUCUUGUGUGAAAUCUUCAGGCUCAACUUGAAGUCUGCACAAGAAACUGCCGGGCUUGAGUAUGGGAGAGGUGAGUGGAAUUUCCGGUGUAGCGGUGAAAUGCGUAGAUAUCGGAAGGAACACCUGUGGCGAAAGCGGCUCACUGGACCAUUACUGACACUGAGGCACGAAAGCUAGGGGAGCAAACAGGAUUAGAUACCCUGGUAGUCCUAGCCCUAAACGAUGAUGGCUUGGUGUGGCGGGUAUCAACCCUGCCGUGCCGAAGCUAACGCGUAAGCGAUCCGCUGGGGAGUACGGUCGCAGCUGAACUCAAGGAUGACGGGGCGACAGCCGGUGGAGCAUGU